UGUGUUUAGUGGAAACGUACCUCUUACUGUAAGCUGUGAAAUAUGUUUCCAAGUGAGCAACCAUCUAAAUUGUUUUCUCCCUAUGAGAUUAUGAGCUCCUUCGAGAUAUAUGCCCAGUGGCUUUUGUUUUUUGACUGGCAUUGGAAUCCUGGUUGUGCUACCCCUUGGACCUUGGGAAUAAUGCAUACUACCUUUCUGGGAUUUGCACCCUAACACAGCCUGAGUAUGGAAUUAUUUGAGAAAGAAGACAAAAGAUAGUCAGAUGGAGUGCCCAGGUGUCCCCUUUAUUACCAAUGAAGCUGAUGUUUGGAGAAUAUGAACAACAGUGGGAUUCCUGUUAUCAUACUGCAGAAUCAGACCUCUCAGCCAGCCACGGGCGGUGCCAGGUCCGAGAAGGCCUCCCCACAUGGGGGCUGCCCCGUACCACUUCCAGAAUGGAGGAGCAGAGCAGAACGCCACCUUCCAGUGUUAGAGAAGAGCUACACAUGUCUCUAUCUCUCCCUAUACCUGCAAACAGUGGCUCCCACAACAGCUUUCUUUUGCCACUUUGUGAGUGGUAUGUCUUAAAAUUCGAGUGAGGCCGUCCGCCUGGGUUUUACGUUGUAUAUGAAGAUACAUAGCAAAUCAGGACUGCAUAGACUUCAUAAAGAAGAUGUUCUGUUAGCGGAGAAUUCGGAGCACUGAGAGAACGUGUGAACUGGGAGGGCCCACUACUCCAUUUCUUAGGAGCCCAGGAUGCCUGGCAAGGAGAGAUGGUUGUUUCCACUUGUUCCUGAAUAAUUCAGUGCACUUCCUCCCAGCCCUUAUUUCUUUGCAAGCAUUCGGUGGACAUCAAAAAAAAAAAAAAAACAAAAACUUUCUGGAAAAGGUUUAAAAUUUCUUUUUCAUCAAGAUAAAGAUUCUGUGAUGUUAUAUUUUUUUCAAACCCCAAAAAGAAAAAACUUGAAUAAGGAGGUUUGCAAUUACAUUUCCUACAGCCUCACCUAAGCCCUUUGCAUUGAAGUAUUUAAAAUGUAUGUAGAAAAAGAUCAUGACAAUUGAGGAGGCAUUUUUGUUUCAAAAAAUAGAAUGCCCAUCCCUGAACUUAAACAUGAACUUUUGUCCUAGUUUUCCAUGUGUUUUUGAGUUGUAAUGAUCAAAAUGCCAACUAUGAGGUAAGUAGGUGGUACCAAGAAGUGACUAGUUUAUACUGUUUAAAUGUUUCUAGUUUCUUUCAUUCAAGGAGUAUGAAGCAUCCCACAAACACUGGCACAAGCUGGAGAUCUGACCUCUACGUUGGGAGGGUAGCUUUGGCCUCAUUCUCU